UGGGCGAAAGCCUGACGCAGCCAUGCCGCGUGAAUGAUGAAGGUCUUAGGAUUGUAAAAUUCUUUCAGCGGGGAAGAUAAUGACGGUACCCGCAGAAGAAGCUCCGGCUAACUUCGUGCCAGCAGCCGCGGUAAUACGAAGGGGGCUAGCGUUGCUCGGAAUUACUGGGCGUAAAGGGCGCGUAGGCGGACAACUAAGUCGGGGGUGAAAUCCCAAGGCUCAACCUCGGAACUGCCUUCGAUACUGGUUGUCUUGAGUUCGGGAGAGGUGAGUGGAAUGCCGAGUGUAGAGGUGAAAUUCGUAGAUAUUCGGCGGAACACCAGUGGCGAAGGCGACUCACUGGCCCGAUACUGACGCUGAUGCGCGAAAGCGUGGGGAGCAAACAGGAUUAGAUACCCUGGUAGUCCACGCCGUAAACGAUGAGUGCUAGUUGUCGGCAUGCAUGCAUGUCGGUGACGCAGCUAACGCAUUAAGCACUCCGCCUGGGGAGU
rnacentral:rRNA from 1 species